rnacentral:rRNA from 1 species
CUAAUACCGCGUAAGACCACAGCUUCACAUGGAGCAGGGGUCAAAGGAGCAAUCCGGAUAAAGAUGGGCUCGCGUCCGAUUAGCUAGUUGGUGAGAUAACAGCCCACCAAGGCGACGAUCGGUAGCCGACCUGAGAGGGUGAUCGGCCACAUUGGAACUGAGAAACGGUCCAGACUCCUACGGGAGGCAGCAGUGGGGAAUAUUGGGCAAUGGGCGAAAGCCUGACCCAGCAACGCCGCGUGAGGGAAGAAGGGUUUCGGCUCGUAAACCUCUGUCCUAUGGGACGAAGGAAGUGACGGUACCAUAGGAGGAAGCCCCGGCUAACUACGUGCCAGCAGCCGCGGUAAUACGUAGGGGGCGAGCGUUGUCCGGAAUGAUUGGGCGUAAAGGGCGCGUAGGCGGCCUGCUAAGUCUGGAGUGAAAGUCCUGCUUUCAAGGUGGGAAUUGCUUUGGAUACUGGUGGGGCUGGAGUGCAGGAGAGGAAAGCGGAAUUACCGGUGUAGCGGUGAAAUGCGUAGAGAUCGGUAGGAACACCAGUGGCGAAGGCGGCUUUCUGGACUGAAACUGACGCUGAGGCGCGAGAGCGUGGGGAGCAAACAGGAUUAGAUACCCUGGUAGUCCACGCCGUAAACGAUGGAUACUAGGUGUAGAGGGUAUCGACCCCCUCUGUGCCGGACAAACGCAAUAAGUAUCCCGCCUGGGGAGUACGGCCGCAAGGUUGAAACUCAAAGGAAUUGACGGG